UUCGUAGGUGGUGCGGCAAGUUGGAAGUGAAAUCUCUGGGCUUAACCCAGAGGCUGCUUUCAAAACUGCCGUGCUCGAGUGCGAGAGAGGUCAGUGGAAUUGCAGGUGUAGCGGUGAAAUGCGUAGAUAUCUGCAGGAACACCCGUGGCGAAGGCGGCUGACUGGAUCGCAACUGACACUGAGGAACGAAAGCUAGGGGAGCAAACAGGAUUAGAUACCCUGGUAGUCCUAGCCCUAAACCAUCAGGACUUGGGGUGGCCCGCGUAGGCGGGUCGUCCCGUAGCUAACGCGUUAAGUCCUGCGCCUGGGGAGUACGGUCGCAAGACUGAA
rnacentral:rRNA from 1 species